rfam:Ipomoea nil DNA, scaffold: scaffold0114, cultivar: Tokyo-kokei standard.
GACUCCAUGGCCCAGUAGAUAAGGUGUUAGUUUACGAAACCAGGGAUUCUGGGAUCAAUCCCCAGUGGAGUCG